UACGGAGGGGGCGAGCGUUAUUCGGAAUUAUUGGGCGUAAAGGGCGCGUAGGCGGCCUUGUAAGUCAAAGGUGAAAUCCCUCGGCUCAACCGAGGAACUGCCUUUGAAACUGCAAGGCUUGAGGCCGGGAGGGGGUAGCGGAAUUCCCAAUGUAGCGGUGAAAUGCGUAGAUAUUGGGAGGAACGCCAGUGGCGAAGGCGGCUACCUGGACCGGUUCUGACGCUGAGGCGCGAAAGCGUGGGUAGCAAACAGG
rnacentral:rRNA from 1 species